rnacentral:rRNA from 1 species
GACGAACCGUGCGAACGUUAUUCGGAAUCACUGGGCUUAAAGGGCGCGUAGGCGGGCGGACAAGUCGGGGGUGAAAUCGUUCGGCCCAACCGGACAAGGGCCCCCGAUACUGGCCGUCUCGAGGGAGGUAGGGGUCGAUGGAACUUCCGGUGGAGCGGUGAAAUGCGUAGAUAUCGGUGGGAACGCCAGUGGCGAAAGCGGCAGACUUGACCCUUCCUGACGCUGAGGCGCGAAAGCUAGGGGAGCAAACGGG